rnacentral:snoRNA from 1 species
GUUUUCUGAGUUGCGCGGAGGCUGAAAAACUCGGAGAGCAUGUGUUGUCAUCAGCUUCGUCUCUUAUUACCGUGAGAUGGGAGUUAAAUAACAGCACGAGAUCC